rnacentral:rRNA from 1 species
UACGGAGGGUGCGAGCGUUGUCCGGAAUCACUGGGCGUAAAGGGCGCGUAGGCGGCGCGGGAAGUCCGUGGUGAAAGCCCGAGGCUCAACUUCGGGUCGGCCAUGGAUACUCCUGGGCUCGAGCACUGUAGAGGCAGGUGGAAUUCCGGGUGUAGCGGUGAAAUGCGCAGAUAUCAGGAAGAACACCAAUGGCGAAAGCAGCUCUCUGGGACGGUACUGACGCUGAGACGCGAAAGCGUGGGGAGCGAACAGG